UGGAGGAGAACGUUAACGCCG
rnacentral:misc_RNA from 1 species